UACGGGGGGGGCAAGCGUUGUUCGGAAUUACUGGGCGUAAAGGGCUCGUAGGCGGCCAACUAAGUCAUACGUGAAAUCCCUCGGCUUAACCGGGGAACUGCGUCUGAUACUGGAUGGCUUGAGUUCGGGAGAGGGAUGCGGAAUUCCAGGUGUAGCGGUGAAAUGCGCAGAUAUCAGGAGGAACACCGGUGGCGAAGGCGGUGAUCUGGGCCAGUACUGACGCUGAGGAGCGAAAGCGUGGGGAGCAAACAGG
rnacentral:rRNA from 1 species